CUCCAUGAGCUUUUUCCGGGAAAGAAUAUUGGAGCAGGUUGCCAUUUCCUUUUACAGGGGAUCUUCCUCACCCAAGGAUUGAAGCACCUGCCUCCCUCCCUCCCCCCGCCCCACUCACACUGCAGGCAGAUUCUUUCCCACUGAGCCAGGGAGGCCAUUUUAACAACAGAUGCUAAUGCUAAGUCGCUUCGGUCAUGUCCGACUCUGUGCGACCCCAUGGACAGCAGCCCACCAGGCUCCUCUGUCCACGGAAUUCUCCAGGCAAGAAUACUGGAGUGGGUUGCCAUUUCCUUCUCCAUAACAACAGAUAUUUGAGCUCAAAUAAGCAGACUUCUUUUCCGUCACUAAGGAUUUUUUCAAACAAAGUUCUACAAGAGAUCAUUCAAUUGGUUUGAUUUGACCCAGGUAGUAUGCAGCACUCCUAUUGGACUUUUUUAGAUUACCAUUCAGUAUGGAGCAUUCCUAUUGGACCUUUUGACCACCAUUCAGUAUGCAGCAUUCCUGUUGGCCACUCUGACAGAUGCUUACGCCGGUGCUUCCAACUAGCGUUUGCACAGUGGCUUCCCAGAAACCAAAGAACUCCACAUGGUGAACUUCCUUCAACUUGGAUCCCUGAGUGACUGCAUGGACCCCUGAGCGACUGCAACAGACAGGAAUUCUUUUAUCCAGAAGAUGUGUUGAUGAUGAAUACAUCCGAGGUUGGCGUUGUAUCCACAUAGAAAUAACUGUGGCACCUAAUGAGUUCUCCAAUAAAUCAUUGACUGACUGCUCUGAUGGGACCACAUUUAGCAGACUGGAUUCAGUGCUGAACACCCUUGUUAGGAAAAAGAGUGCAUGUCACUUCUCAAGGAAGGGGUGGUAUCACCUCAGAGAAACUAUUACACUUGGGCACAAGGAGACAUGUCGGCCAGAGGGAACCACUGUUGUGAGUUUGUUAAUUACCUCCAUGCUGCCGCUGCCGCUGCUGCUGCUAAGUCACUUCAGUCGUGUCCGACUCUGUGCAACCCCAGAGAUGGCAGCCCACCAGGCUCCCCCAUCCCUGGGAUUCUCCACGCAAGAACACUGGAGUGGGGUGCCAUUGCCUUCUCCAAUGCAGGAUAGUGAAAAGUGAAAGUGAAGUCACUCAGUCGUGUCCGACUCUUCGCGACCCCAUGGACUGCAGCCCACCAGGCUCCUCCGCCCAUAGCCCUCGCAAAUACCUUUGCAUGCAUAUAUUCACAUAGAAAAUGUAUAGCUUUUUGUGUUUGCUUUUUUUAAAUAUACAUAGUACACUGCAAACUGUAUGAAACACUCAACAGCCAGUCUGUUUGUUCACAGUUGUGUUUCUGAGAUUUAUCCAUAGAGAUUUGUUUAGACUGAGUGUACUCUUUUUCAUGACUCUAUAAUGUUCCAUCAAGGGACUAUAUAAUACAUUUUAUGCAUCCACUCGCCUAUUGGGAGCCUUAUAGGUUGGUUCAAAUAUUUUGCUAUCACAAUGUAACUGUGGAUACAUGUGUACCUACUUCCUCUGGGUAGCAGAAAGAACACAUUGGGUAUUUCAACAGAGUCGGUUAAUUUGCUUAGGUGACUGUGAGCUGCAUGAGAACAGAAAUAGGCCACUUUUUAGGAAGAAGUUCCCUAUCUCUGCAAGUGUCUGAGUACUGGCCGGAUAGCCUCUUGGCACUGCUAUAGAGGAGGGGAUGCUGUCCCUAAAUGACCAUCAAGUUCCCUUCCAACUGCACGAUCCUAUAAUCUCUCAUCUCCCUGCAGAGGGACCACCGCCCAGUACAUCUCAUGCCAAGAGCCCCAGCUGCGGUGAGGGGAAAAAGUCAUCUUUUCUGCAGAUUUGGAGGAGCUGGGAGGGACAUCUUUUUGCAAAACCCCAUGUUUCCUGCUCCUCUUGAUGUGUUAUAUUUCAUUCUAACUGAAGACAUCGUACAUAAACCCCUUACGUUUUGUAAGUCUUCACUGGAAUGAAUAGAUCUAGGUUGAAACCCUGGGUCAGUCCCAAGCAGCCAUAUGAUCUUGGGCAUGUUUGAAUUCUCUAUGCCUCAGUCUCCUUGUCUGUAAAGUGGGUGAAUUCAUAGCCCUUGCUCACGACUAUUGUGAUGAUUCUCCCAGCUGAUGGAUGUAAUGUGCUCUAAUGGCUAGUGAGUUGCAUCUCUCUCUAAGGGUGGUGGGUAGGGGUCAGGGGAGGAGGGCUCACUGUGCAAGCCGGCUGUCCUAGAGAUGCAUAAAUUGGGAGCAGUCUUUGCCCCAGACAGGAAGGAAGUCCAAGGUUUAACCAAUCUGUUGCACUCACUGCCGUGGCCUGCACAACCUUAUGUUUGGUGUUUCAUCUUUUUCAAAGCGUGUCCAUUAUCUCAUCUGUUCAUCAAAGGCCCCUGCAAGGAAGUCAGGCAGAGGAUGGGCCCAAGGAGAGAUGACUCAGGAAUCUGAAAGUCAAGGCCAGCAGCCUCCCUGACAAACAGCCCACUGGGCUGAGUUUCUCCACUGAUCUUGGCCGAGAAGGAGGGGGUGAGGCUGUCCAGGUCAGGCCUGAAAUACCCACAGAGAGACUUCCUUUCCCCUGACGGUGGACUGGCUUCUCAACCCAGCCAGAUGGGCUGCAGAUGUGAGCUCCGGGUUGCGAGGGAGGCCAGGGAAAUAGACAGGACUCGGCCCCUUGCCUGGAAUGUCAGCCCCUAAGCCCGGGUCCCAUGAUGCCCCUGGAGCAUGAUGCUGCUGUCUUCCUGAGCUCAAGUUUGUGGCAUUUUGGAUACAGGAAGGGGGUGAUGGAGAUACUGCCAUGCUUCUGCGAUGCUCAUGGCUCUCAGUUGGAGAAUAUUUCAGGCAGCAACCAUCCCAUCUUGAAGCCUUCAGGUCAGCUUGGAUACAAGUCAGUCUCAUGUCAUUUCUACAGCCCCAGCCAGCCCUGGAAAGCCUGCUAAGUUGCUGAAUGGCUUCCUCUUCCAAAAGAACUGCUGGCCCUUCAUGGCUUUCUCUUCCUUCAGCCUGUCCCAAAAUUCAGAGUCCCUUCCCUCAUGCCAUACCCUCCGGGUGGCCAGUGUUGACUCUGGUCUCAGGGGACCAAUUGCCACUGUCAGUCCAUUCAGAGUGGAACUGUUUAUAGAGUUCUGUCGUGGAAAUAAUAGUUCCCUGACUCCAAGAGGGACCCUGGGGACCUGGCUUCUGGAGACUGGUUGAAGAAAGGGCUCUGGUUCAGCCAGACCUGAGUUCUGCCAUCCGCAGCUGUGUGACUUUGGAAAAGUCACAUCACCUCUCUGAUCUUCUAGGCUUCUCAUUUGUAGAAAGUGAGGGAUCAUCCUUACCUUGCAGUGUCCUUAGGAAGAUUCAAGAAAACACGUGCAAAUCCCCAGUGUUGUACCCGGCAUGGAGUCCAUGCUUCCUAACGAACUUUUGCUUUUGUUCUGGUAAUUGUUAUUAUUCUUGUUGUUGCUGGGGCUAAGGGGCUGCCUCCCUUCUUUCCUAAGUUGCUCAUUGUCUCUAUAAUCAGAUAAACCUGUAUUCUAAUCCUAGCAUCAUCUUAUGGCUCUGUAGCCUUGAUCAAGUUACUUAGCUUCUCUGAGCCUGCCUCAGUUUCCCCAUCAAUAAAGAGAGGUUUAGAAAGCUUAAGUGACUUCACCAAAGUUAUACCUACCCAGUAAGGAAUUUCAGCUCAACCCUGCAUAUGUCCAACAGCCCUGAUGGCUUAACCAGUAAGCAGCUACAUUUUCAUCAUAUUUCUAUUUUCCUUGAACAAGGCCCCUUAGUUUCUUCAACCUGGCCUGCAAUAAGAACUAACUGACAAUGAUACCUUCUUCAAACUCUAAAGUUCCCUCCAGAAGUCUGUGUCCAUAUCCAGGGCUUCCCUGGAGGUCCAGUGGUUAAGAAUCCAUUUUCCAAUGCAGGGGACACAUGAGUUCAAUCCCUCAUCCCUCAUGAGUUCAAUCCCUCGGGGAACUAAGAUCCUACCUCUUAAGGGGCAACUAAGCCUGCCCGCCACAAUUAGAGAAUCCCGCGCGCUGCAAUGAGGAGCCUCCUUGCCGCAACAAAGACUCACUGCAGCCAAAAAAAAGAGAGAGGGAAAAAGUCCAUGUCCCACCCACUGGACCAGCAGUUUAGCCAGCCCAAGAAGCCAAAACAAGAAAAGCUACAGAAACAGUGCGAGAGAGGUCUUUGAACUGUUCGGGGGGAAUGUUCACGAAGGGAGGGAUAAGAGUAGGCAGCUGAGAUUUGCCCAACUCCAGGAAGGACCUUGGUGGAAUCUGCACAUCAAAGGGAGCCCAGCGCUUCAAAGGCAGGCGCUCUUUCUGCCCUCCCGGCCACCGGUCACGGCUAACUGGCUCACAUGGGGACAAAGCUAGAGGACGCAAUGUGGGAAGACGGGGGUUUCGGGAUGAGAACCUCGCUGUAGUUGGGUGUGUCUCUGGAGCCUGGCACAACUGGCUGCCCUUUCCCCAAACCUCCCCUCACCAGCUCGGGGGUCCUCACUCUGGGGCCCCAGACCCCCAAGGGCCCCAUGCUGGAAUUCAAAGCUUCUCUGAACUGGGUCAGCAGGAAAGUAUAUCACGUCUUUGUUGUUGUCGCUGGCCUUGAACUGCAAUUGAGCAUCCCUUUCCAUCAUGAUUGCAGGUAACAGACACGUGGCAGGAUCAGCAGCCCCUACCACGUGGUCCCCAGUAGCAAUCACCCAUAUUGGCUUGUCACCUUACAGGAGUCACGGUGAGUUCAGCAUUCCUUAGUGUUAUGACAUUUCUGCCACCGGGGUUGUUAUUAGAACUGCCGCUAUGAUUUAUUUCAAGAAUUGAUAAAGAAAUACACGUAUGACUAUAUCUCUUUUUCUGUUUGCAGUGAGUGUCCUUUGUAAUCUUAUGUUUUUCUUUUUUAAUUUUUUUUUUUUUUUUAGAUUUUGAUUUUU